rnacentral:rRNA from 1 species
CAAUAGCGUAUAUUAAAGUUGUUGCAGUUAAAAAGCUCGUAGUUGGAUUUUGUGGGUGUCUCCUGGUUUGGUCCGCUGCCUUUGGGUGGCGAGUACUACCGGGGCGCCUUCAUUAUGGUCGUAGGUGUGGCGAGUGGUGCUUAACUGUACGGCUCGCUGCGUUCAACCUGUGGCCCGUUUACUUUGAACAAAACGGAGUGUCUAAAGCAAGCAAUGACUGCUUUCUGAACGUAUUAGCAUGGAAUAAUAGAAUAGGACUUUGGUUGUAUUUUGUUGGUUUUGCAGCCGAGGUAAUGAUUAAUAGGGAUAGUUGGGGGCAUUUAUAUUCCGAUGUCAGAGGUGAAAUUCUUGGAUUUUCGGAAGAUAAACUUCUGCGAAAGCAUUUGCCAAGGAUGUUUUCAUUAA